UACGUAGGCAGCGAGCGUUGUCGAGUUACUGGGCGUAAAGGGUGUGUAGGUGGCGCCGUAAGUCGGGUGUGAAAUUUCGGAGCUUAACUCCGAAACUGCAUUCGAUACUGCGGUGCUUGAGGACUGGAGAGGAGACUGGAAUUCAUGGUGUAGCAGUGAAAUGCGUAGAGAUCAUGAGGAAGACCAGUGGCGAAGGCGGGCCUCUGGACAGUUCCUGACACUGAGACACGAAGGCCAGGGGAGCAAACGGG
rnacentral:rRNA from 1 species